CAUGCAUGCAUAUUGAAAAUACAAAUCUGAAAACUAGUACAGAAAGUAUAAUUGAUCUAAAAAACAAUGUAAUAUACUUGAAAACCUAUGUUAAUUUUUCUGGUUCUGAUGUGAUCUACAGAAGAGAGAACUUGAUGAUACAUGUAUAUAAUACUUAGUUUUAACAUAGGUAUAUUUGACUAACUAUAAUAUUUUGAGUCAAUUUGAUGUUAUAUAAUACCAAGGUAUAUUAUAAUUAUUAGGAGUCAAUCUUGAUGAAAUAUAAUAGAGGGCCCUCA
rnacentral:lncRNA from 1 species